rnacentral:rRNA from 1 species
UACGUAGGGUGCAAGCGUUAAUCGGAAUUACUGGGCGUAAAGCGUGCGCAGGCGGUUUUGUAAGUCUGUCGUGAAAUCCCCGGGCCUCAACCUGGGAAUUGCGAUGGAGACUGCAAGGCUAGAAUCUGGCAGAGGGGGGUAGAAUUCCACGUGUAGCAGUGAAAUGCGUAGAGAUGUGGAGGAACACCGAUGGCGAAGGCAGCCCCCUGGGUCAAGAUUGACGCUCAUGCACGAAAGGCGUGGGGAGCAAACAGGAUUAACGAAAC